UUAUCUCCUGUGCUCUCAGGUAUGUGUCUUCAAGUCCAUGUUCUGCUUGUGCAACAAAGAUAGCUGAAGUGCUGAAGGCAAGGACCAACGUGAAGCUGAGCAUCUUUUCUGCUCGGCUCUUUGAGUGGGAGGAGCCAGAGAUCCAGGACGGGCUGAAGGCGCUGCAUGCUGCUGGCUGUAAGCUGCGGGUGAUGAAGCCUCUGGACUUCUCCUACGCCUGGGAGACAUUUGUGGAGAACGAGGAUCAGCCCCUGAACCUGUGGGAGGACUGCAAAGAAAACUAUGAGUACUACCAUGAGAAGCUGGCUGACAUUAUACAGUGACCACAGUAAAUGUUCAAAGAAAAAUCUCAAUAACAAGGAAUCCGGUCGUGAAUUUGUGCACCCCUGAUAAUUUUCAUACUUUACAUCUGAUUCAUGUUGAUGUCAUUAUUGUUGUUAUUUAUAGUAUGUGUGAGUAGAAUAGCUAUGUGUCUAUUAAUGUGACGAAUUUGCUUUAGUAUGUUGUAUAAGUAUAAUACUAAACCCCCCCAUCCUACAUAUGACAGCAAUCCAUACACCUGGCCUCCACUCUGACUAUCCUGAAUGCAGCAAGUCAAACAUCCUGAGGACAAGAAAGACAGCUGUCAGUGUGUGACUGUUUGUCCUAUAUCGGGACGUAGAUCUGACAAUAAUAAUAUUUGUGUUUUCAAAUCAUUUCAAGUGUUCAUUCUUCUUGUUAUAUCGGUGGACGCAGUUCUCCGAUAUUUUGCUUGGAUAAAAAACAGCUGUACCCCAUGUAGAAAAACGUAAUUACAGGUACAAUUCCUGCAUUUUAAUUGUACUUAUAUGUAUUUUUUACAACAGUAUUAGAAUCAAAAUGUACUUUGAUAUUAUUUUUAAAUUGGAUUAUGAAUAUUGAUGCAUUAAAGAUAGGGUGGAUAAUCUGAUCCCAAAACAUUUUUGCUAUAUUGAAAGCAAUAAAUAAAUCAAGGGCACUGUCAAAUAAUAAAAAAAUCCAAUAUCUAUCUGUG